UUAGAGUUUGAUCCUGGCUCAGCAUGAACGCUGGCGGCGUGCCUAACACAUGCAAGUCGAGCGAAGCACUUAAGUUCGAUUCUUCGGAUGAAGACUUAUUUGACUGAGCGGCGGACGGGUGAGUAACGCGUGGGUAACCUGCCUCAUACAGGGGAAUAACAGUUGGAAACGACUGAUAAUGCCGCAUAAGCGCACAGCAUCGCAUGGUGCAGUGUGAAAAACUCCGGUGGUAUGAGAUGGACCCGCGUCUGAUUAGCUAGCUGGUGGGGUAACGGCCUACCAAGGCGACGAUCAGUAGCCGGCCUGAGAGGGUGAACGGCCACAUUGGGACUGAGACACGGCCCAAACUCCUACGGGAGGCAGCAGUGGGGAAUAUUGCACAAUGGGGGAAACCCUGAUGCAGCAACGCCGCGUGAGUGAAGAAGUAUUUCGGUAUGUAAAGCUCUAUCAGCAGGGAAGAAAAUGACGGUACCUGACUAAGAAGCACCGGCUAAAUACGUGCCAGCAGCCGCGGUAAUACGUAUGGUGCAAGCGUUAUCCGGAUUUACUGGGUGUAAAGGGAGCGUAGGCGGCGGGGCAAGUCAGAACUGAAAGCCCGGGGCUCAACCCCGGGACUGCCUUCGAAACUGUUCUGCUAGAGUGUCGGAGAGGUAAGCGGAAUCCUACUGUAGCGGUGAAAUGCGUAGAUAUUAGGAGGAACACCACUGGCGCAGGGCGCUUACUGGACGAUAACUGACGCUGAGGCUAGAAAGCGUGGGGACCACACAGGAUUAGAUACCCUGGUAGGCCAGCGCCUAGAACGAUGAAUACUAGGGUGUCGGGGUAGUAGAGUACUUCGGGGCCGUCGCACACGCAGUAAGUAUUCCACCUGGGGAGUACGUUCGCAAGAAUGAAACUCAAAGGAAUUGACGGGGACCCGCACAAGCGGUGGAGCAUGUGGUUUAAUUCGAAGCAACGCGAAGAACCUUACCAAGUCUUGACAUCCCACUGACCGGACAGUAAUGUGUCCCUCUCUUCGGAGCAGUGGUGACAGGUGGUGCAUGGUUGUCGUCAGCUCGUGUCGUGAGAUGUUGGGUUAAGUCCCGCAACGAGCGCAACCCCUGUCCUUAGUAGCCAGCAGUAAGAUGGGCACUCUAGGGAGACUGCCGGGGAUAACCCGGAGGAAGGCGGGGAUGACGUCAAAUCAUCAUGCCCCUUAUGAUUUGGGCUACACACGUGCUACAAUGACGUAAACAAAGGGAAGCAACCCUGUGAAGGUGAGCAAAUCUCAAAAAUAACGUCUCAGUUCGGAUUGUAGUCUGCAACUCGACUACAUGAAGCUGGAAUCGCUAGUAAUCGCGAAUCAGAAUGUCGCGGUGAAUACGUUCCCGGGUACUUGUACACAGCGCCCGUC
rnacentral:rRNA from 1 species